rnacentral:rRNA from 1 species
UGGGGAAUAUUGCACAAUGGAGGGAACUCUGAUGCAGCGACGCCGCGUGAACGAAGAAGGCUUUCGCGUCGUAAAGUUCUUUUAUAUGGGAAGAUAAUGACGGUACCAUAAGAAAAAGCCCCGGCUAACUACGUGCCAGCAGCCGCGGUAAUACGUAGGGGGCUAGCGUUGUCCGGAAUCACUGGGCGUAAAGGGUUCGCAGGCGGAAAUGCAAGUCAGGUGUAAAAGGCAGUAGCUUAACUACUGUAAGCAUUUGAAACUGCAUAUCUUGAGAAGAGUAGAGGUAAGUGGAAUUUUUAGUGUAGCGGUGAAAUGCGUAGAUAUUAAAAAGAAUACCGGUGGCGAAGGCGACUUACUGGGCUCAUUCUGACGCUGAGGAACGAAAGAGUGGGUAGCAAACAGG